rnacentral:lncRNA from 1 species
CAGACUAGGGUUGACGCAAUCUUAUAUAUAUUUCAUGAGUCUUUCUACCAAAUUAGGGUUGACCCAGCUUUGUUAGUAUCCCAUGGCAAGGUGCUAACACCCUUCCAACUGGGGUCACAGGUUGGACCCCAAAUCAAUCUACGUUGGGGUAUGUCGGUUAGAUGAACACUCCUACAGUUAUAGUUUUAGUCUCAACAUUCAGUAAAGAACUCAGACAGUUUUUCAAAACCAUGGAUAUCAGUUAUCAGUUACUUAGCCAUCAAAAUUUAGUAUUCAGUCUCAGUAUAAUCUCAGAUACAUAAUAUACAUAUAUAUAUAUAUAUAUAUAUAUGUAUACUUACAAGAACAAUAAUGCAUGCUCAUGUUUACUUUAGUUUCAGAUCUUCAUGUACUCUCAUUCAGUUACUUUAUAUCAUUCAGUCAGUUACUGUUCAUGCAUAUGAACCCAUGCAUAUUAGCCUUACUUCACUUAUCAUACCAAUACAUUCAACGUACUGAUCUCAUACUUAUUUUUUUGUGCUAUGAUGACUCGUAUCAUAGGUUCAGACGCACGGGUUCCUGAUCAUACUUAGCAGCUCAGGAUAUUAAUAGAAAAUUCAGUAGUGAGUCUUUAUCCAUCAAGGAUAUUAUUUUAUUUUAGCAUCUUAGAAGAUUUAGUAUAUUCAGUAAUCAGAUUUAUUUGGGGACUUGUCUAAUCAACUCUACAUUCAGACAGUUAGAGGUUUUCAGACUAGCAUAGUCAGUUAUUCAAUUUUCAGAUGUUAUUGUCAGUUAUACUCUCUUAUUAUUUUAGUAUUUUGAGAACCUUAUGGAAUUUUUAGUUACUUCCAUAUAUAUAUAUAUUUCAGUAUUAUAUUCAGUGCUCAAGCAGGUACCAGUCAUUGGCCAGAUUGUGGUCCUUCGAGAUUGUAAGCAAUGUGUGAGGCUCAAGGUGUAGUCUCGGGGUUUUACAGUUUUUUUCUUAGAGCUCUCCAUAGAAAAAAGGAACAUUUGAAUUGAAUCAUCCUAUGCCAGGUGUAAUUAUUCAUCAUUGUUAUUUCUUUGUGUUCUCUUUUCAACCCUCGGCAGAGGAGCAGCUGAAAUCACCACUUGCAUUUAGUGUCCAAAUUAGGGAGUCAGGAACCCUUCUUGGAAGUAGAAUAAAACUCUGGGGAUAGUUUGUAGAAGAUGAGGGGGAAGUAUUGUUAUUUUUUUUAUAUUCCACUCACCCUCAAUUAGGAAUGCUUCUACCUUGACAUUAUUUGACCUUACUCCAUCAAUUCUGUAGUUGUGUAGGGACCCCUGACCAAACCAGCUAUACCACUAAAAAUAGCAUGCACCUGAUUUGAUUCUCCAUAGUAUAUGUUUUUCAGCUUCCUUCUUGUUCUUCGUCAUGUUUUUCCAUAUCAGAGACUGACCAAUAGACCCUUUCCUGGUUAUAACAUUAACUCUCUGGCAGUAUUUGGCUGGUAAAAAGUUGCCCCCACAGAGUGUUUCUGCUUCUAAAUAUCCACUAUUUUUUCAACUGUAUAGCUUUACAUAUUUCAGAAAUAUGCCUUAUACCAAUUCCUCAUUCAGUUGCUGGGAAGCAAAGGUUCCUCCAAGAUGCCCAGUGAUAUUUAUUCUUGUUGUCUUUCCAUCCACAAAAAAAGUCAGCAAACAUAUAUAAGAGCUAUUUUAGAAUAGUCUUGGGAGACAUGCAGAGAGAAUGUGAAUAGGGAUUGAUUGGAAAACAUACUUUACCAACACAACUCUACCACCAUAACUAAGCAUUCUGGAGUGCCAACCUAUUAUUCUGGAAGCUACAUUGCCGACCAACCCAGCAUAAUGACUAAUUCUUUGCCUUAUAAUAUAAAUUGAACUAACAAGGUAUGUAAUAGGGCUUUGCUUCUGUUGAAAUUCAGUUUUAUCUCAAAUCCUUGAUACUGUGGAGGGAAAAGAUUGGUUUGGUAGCAGGAAAUAACUCUUUUCCUUGUUGAUCGGAUGGAUAGAAACCUCUUCAUAAGAUGUCAAUGUCUUUAUAAUGAGUCUUAGAGUGUGUCUCCUUCCAGUAGUAAAUAUGAUGAUAUCAUCAAUAAAGCUGAGAUAGCUUACUUGACGCCCUUUCCAGUUCAUGUGAAAGCCAUAAUAUUGAGGGUUGUGAUGUAAUUUGUUUAAUGCUCUUGAUAAAACUUUAUCCCCAAGGAUAAAAAGAGCAGGGGAGAUAGGGUCACCUUGUUUCAAUCCCUUUGUGGAGUAAAAAAAAAGCCAUGUUUGGUACCAUUCACAAGUACUGAGUACCAGUUGUUUGACAGAGUCCUCCAGAUCAUGUCAAUAAUAGUUUUACCAAAUCUAAAUCUUCUCAAAACAAGGAAAGUAUAUGACCAGGACACCCUGUCAUAGGCCUUGGCCAUGUCAAGUCUUAUAGCCACAUUUCCACCCACAACUGGUUUCUUAAUGCCACUAAUGAUCUCCUGGGUAAGCAUGAUAUUUUUUGCAAUAUUCCUACCUCUCACAAAGACUGAUUGGUUGCAAGAAAUAAGAGUGGGAAGGCUGAUGAGUUUAGAAAUAACUUUAUUGGUGAAGUUGCUCAAGCUGGUACGUCUAGAUUCAGAGAGUUUGUUGGGGUGAGUUACUUUAGGAAGGAGAACCAAACAGGUAUGAGAGAAGUAUUUAGGCAUAAUAUGUCCACAGAAAAAAACAAUCACCAAUUAAAGAAGAUCAUUACCAAUGAUAUGCCAGCAGGACUGAAAGAAAUUCACAUUCAUGCUAUCAGGACCAAAUGCUGAAUGAGCAUUCAUUGAAAAAAAUACAGCAUUUAAUUCAUCCAGAGUAGGAAUUGCCUGGAGGGUCUCAUUUUGAUCAUUUGGGAGCACUUUAGGAAUAUUAGCUAACAUUUCUUAUAGUACAUGUUCUAUUUAUCAAGUAAAUUUAUCCUGGAAAUGUUUACAUCCAGCUGCAAUAACUUCAGCAUCCCCUUGAAUCCAAUCCCCUUCCUCAUUUUUUAUUUAGUGAAUGAACAUUCUUUUUUUUUCAUCUGAUAAAGGCAUGAAAAUAACUGGAAUUUGCAUCUCCAUAUUUAAACCAGUACAGUUGAGACUUCUGUCUUAAGAUAGCAUCUUUCACCUUGAGAUGUUUAAUAUAUUCAACUUGUAGUCUAUGGAAUUCCUAUUUGUUCACAUCUGUGCCAUUUAAGAUCAAAUUUUCCACAACUUCCUUGACCUUCUCUUCAUAAGCUUUCACAUUAGCAUAAAUGUCUCCAAAAUUCUUCUUUAGACCAGUGGCUUAGGGUAGAAGUUAGUCUUUUCAUCUUUUGUUGAAAUCUCCACAUGGGGGCUUCUGCACAAGGCUUCUUCCAGCAUGUCUCCACAGUGUUAAAUAAUAUGGGAUUCUCCACCCAACAAUUCAGGAAUUUGAAAUACUUAAUGUAUGAGUCCACACUUUCCUGCAUCUCCAAAAGUAAUGGAUAAUAAUCUGAGCCUACAGAAGACAAAUGAGUAAUGUUGGACAUUGGCAUUUUUUCCAACCAUGCAUCUGACACCAUUGCUCUAUCCAAUCUUUUCUAUAUUCUGAAGUGAAUGACUCUUAGAUUAGACCAAGUGAAUUUGGGACAAUGGAAACCCAGGUUAGUUAAUCCACAAGCUUCAAUGACCCCCAAGAAUUCAAAACUCUUCCUUAUAAGGGAUACCUCCCUAUUUUUCAUCUACUUCAGUAAUCAUAUUAAAGUUACCAAUUGUGCACCAAGGUAAAAUAGUUGCAGACAGUUGCACCAGUUUAUUCCACAAGGGUCUUCUAAUAGUAUCUCUGUACUUGGCAUAAACAAAAGUAAUAAGAUAUUAUUGAACAAGAGCACUAUAAGUAAUUAAGCAGGUAAUCUAUUGAACAUCAUUAGCAAUAGUGCCACAUGAGAUAUCUAGGGACCAGAAGAUCCAGAUUUUGCCAGUAGGAUUGCAGAUAGCAUGCUCUAUCUUGAGUUUUCUUUUAGUUUCUUCUAGAUGAGUAUUAUUGUAGAAGGUUCCAGAAUUACAACCAAAGAGAUUUAAUGAAUGGUUAUUAGUUGUUGAAGUCUUUCCAGUACACCAUGGGUAAAUAGACCCCCUGCAUUCCAAGUAAGAUAUCUAAUUAUUUAGUUGUUUUGUGAGAAUAAGACCUGGUAAAAGGUCUGGCUGUGUGAUCAGUCCUGCUGGUUAAAUUUUGUUUGGUCCCCUUCAUGGACUUAAGUAAAGACCCCUUGGGAGAAAGCCCUUGCUGGCUAAAAAUUUGGUUUACUUCCAUUGCAAAUUCCUCUGGAUCUCCUAGAUCAAAAACAUCAGUCAAAUUUUCAUCAAUAGUCCCCAUGUGUUCCAAUUUACUGUCAUAUAUAUCAUCCUUAGAGUGUAUCACCCUGUAUUCAUCUUCUAUCUCCUGAGAAGGGUCCUAAGAAUAAUACUUAGUGACAAUAGGUUAAUCCUUAUUUUCAAUGACUUGCAACUAUUCAAGAGCCACUUUCAUUUGAGAACAAGACUCAAAGUUAGAGAAAACACCUUGUACCAUUUCAAGGGCCAUCACACCAUUCUUCACCUCCUUAUUUUCAAUAACCUGCAACUGUUUAAGAACCACGUCCACUUGAGAACAAGACUCAAAGUUAGAGAAAACACCUUAUACCAUUUCAGGGUACAUCACACCAUUCUGCACCUCCUCUUAAGGAUUCUUAAUAUCUUCUGAUUUGCUCAGCUGGUUCUCCUUAGCAGGAGUACUUAACAAGGUUUUGUUACUUCCUUCAAGUACCUAUAGAUUAUCUAGUUUGGCACUGUUAGACUCAUCUUUUUGUUGUGAAAUUAUCUUAAUAACAUCAUCAAUAUUGACUGGACAAGCAUAAUCAAUCCCAACAUAGUCUUGUUAAAGAGCUGUAAAUGCAUUAGAUAUAGUUGGAGCAGCAGUAUACCGUUGACCCUCUGUAUGCUUAUUUGGAGACAGUGGCUUGAAUAUCAUCUUUUGGUUGUCCCUUCUACCUUUCCUUUUUUAUUCUGUCACUCAUUAAUGAGGGUCUUACCUCUAUCUGCACUAUGUUGCUGCAGUGUAUCAAGUGUGGUCAACAUCCCUUGAUUCAUCUAAGGGUAACCUUUCUGUCUACACUCCUCCUAAGAGCUCUCAUUUAAAUCCAUCUUUUUCUUAGCAGCCUUAUCUUUUCUUUAACAACAUAUGAUCUUGCAGCAUGUCCUUGGUGUUUACAAUAAGAGCAGUACUCUAGAACAUCUUCAUACAGAAUGGUUUGCCAUCUACCUUCACUAUGUUCAUCAUCAUCCUCAUCAUCUCCCAUCCAAAUAUGUUGGCGUCUCGGCUUAGUUAGGUCAAUUUGCAUCUUGAACUUAGCUAUACUUCCCCUAGUUUUUUUAUAAUUUACCAAGUCUAGAAAUAAUACCUUUCCUAUAGGAGAUAAUAGAGAUGUCACCACCUCUAAGUAAUAACAGUGCCAAGAGAGUUCAGGUAAGCUAACCCAUACAGGAACCAAUGGAGUCUCCUCUUCGGGGUUAAAAGUGGGGGUCCACAAUUGAAAUCUCAUCAUCUUCCAUUGGAUAUACAUUUUCCCUUUUGACCAAAUGGUUGAAUGAUCGUAUUCAUUAUCUAUAUCAAUGUAUAGAUGUCUAGAAUUAAAAUGAGUAAUUUUGACCUGACCCUUUAGCUUAGUUUGUAGAAUGAAUUGUCGCCUAAUCACCUCCAUCUUAGGCAUACUAUUUUCAAACUUCCCAAUCAGGGUAUACUAAAUCUCUGUGCUAAUUUGACUUUAUAAUCUUCGGGCCUAAACACAACCACUGGGAGGACUUGUUUGGUUGUUAUUUUGAGGGGUCCAAUGUGAAUAAUUUCUGCCUUCAUAGCCUCUUAGGCUCUCAAUUUCGUAUCCAAAGAGUGUGUAACCCAAGGGAUAGGGGUUUCAGUACCUUGACCUGGUUUGGGCCAUACAACAGUAGAACCUAGAACCCCUACAUUCAUUGGAAGUUGGGGCAUUAACCCCGGCAUGAACUUCAAAACAUCAGCAUUGGGGCUAUUAUUGAGUGUUACUAGAGGAUCAACUAUGUUAGGUUUCGUAUUAGACAAGUUAGUAGAUUGGAUAGAAAUCUUACUUCCAUUAGUGGUUGAUGUUAUUUUAUCCAUUUUCACCAUCAUUAAGCUACUCGGAAUGGAUUGUGGUUGAAUUGCAGCCAUUUUCAACUUCUCUGUUGGUAAUAAAUUCAUCUUAGGUUGUUCUAAAUUUGGUGUUGAUGAGUAUUGGAUUGAGCUCUACUUUACCUCCCCUAGCUUGCAUUGCACUUCUGAUUGAGCUUGGUUGAUAAUCGUUUGCACCCAACGUAAUUGGUCUUCAGAAAUUUAAGCUGGGUAUCCGUCAGAUUGGUGCAAUUGCUGAGAGAUGUGUGGCAUAUGUAUGGGUGGAUUUUUCUGUAGGGAUCGAAUGAAUGCAUGCCUCCCCUAAGGAGAGAUGUUUGAUGGUCGGAGAAGCUACGCCGGCAGCUGCGAAGCCAUUGUAGUCACCAGUUGUAAUUGGCGAGAAAUGACAGAAUUAUAACUACCUAGAGAGAGAAUUUUUUAGAGAGAUAAAAUUAAUUUAAUUAAUUAAUUUAAAUUUUAGGAUGUGUAAAAGAUGAAUUGGGGAUUUUUGAUUGAGUCAAAUGUGGUUAAAAUUGACAUCAAAAGUGGCUAAAAAUUCAAAUAUGUAGGAAAAUUAGAUGAAAUUAGUUAUCAUUUUAACAACAACAAUAAUAAUAGUAAUAAUAAUAAUUAUUAUUAUUAUUAUUAUUAAAAUAAUAAUAAAUAAAAAUUAUUAAUGUAAAUAAAUCGUGUAAAAAAGAUUAAUGACACCUAAAAUAUUAUUUUAAUAUUAAUGGAAAUAAUAAACUAUACACCUAUAAAUUGCAAAAUAUCAUCUUUAAUAUAACAACUAAGUGUUUGUAAAUUAUAGUUGUGAACAAAAGAUUAUGUCUAAAUAUUAUGUUUAAACUAAUAAAUUAUAAAAAGUGAUAAUUAAAUAGUAAUAAAAUAGUUUUUACAUUUUUAAAAUAUGGAUAUAACAUGAUAAAAUUUUAUUCGAUACUAAAAUAUUAAUAUUUAAAAUUAAUAAUUUGGAUAAAAUAACAGUCUAAAAGCAGCAUCGGGAGGUCAAAAUUGGAUGUCAAUAGCACUUUUAUCUAAAUAUGAUGUGUUUGUCGAGUAUUGCAGGAAAAUAGGGUCAGAAGUGAGUGGAAUGGAAUAAGAAAGAAAAAUGCACCAAAUAGCAGAAAACUUUCUGGGAAACAAGUUGCUGGGUCAUGCUACGACUCAUCGUUCAGGUCGUAGCCAUCCUAGUCCACAAAAAGACAAAGGAUAGAAGGGAAAAGUGACAACUCGUAGAGCCAGACUGCGAGUCAUAGGCUGAGGUGUUCUGAGCAAAAUGAGCAAAGUCCUGAAAGGUAUAUUUUGAUAGCAGUGGAGACGAAAGCUGACAAUGAGUCGUAGGGUCAGACUAUGACUCAUCUUAAUACUCAUUCUGAGUGUGUGGAGAAAAGUUCUAAAAAUUAGAAGAUGUAGCAUUGGACCUAACGAGUCGGGAGACGGCUUGCAUAGUUCCAUAACAAGUCAUCACUAGCCAUAGGAAAUCUAGAUGAUAACUGCAAUAGAAGGUGGAUAAUGAGUCAUCGUUAGUCUAGAUGACUCGUCGCCUAAGGUGUCAUCCUUACCAACUUAAGUAGUCCUGUUUUGUUUAGGAAAAAAUUAAUGUAACUAUAAAUAUUCCUUUGAAGUUUUAUUGUUAGUUUACACUCCACAUAUUUUUACACAUUUUUUGAGUUCUGAGAUAAAUUAUUAAUCUUGAAAUUAUUGUUAUUCAUUUUUAGGGUUUAUAAUUGAAUUAAUAUUUUGGGUUUUUUAUCUUCCUCUUUAAAAAUUAUUAAUGUAAAUAAAUCGUGUAAAAAAGAUUAAUGACACCUAAAAUAUUAUUUUAAUAUUAAUGGAAAUAAUAAACUAUACACCUAUAAAUUGCAAAAUAUCAUCUUUAAUAUAACAACUAAGUGUUUGUAAAUUAUAGUUGUGAACAAAAGAUUAUGUCUAAAUAUUAUGUUUAAACUAAUAAAUUAUAAAAAGUGAUAAUUAAAUAGUAAUAAAAUAGUUUUUACAUUUUUAAAAUAUGGAUAUAACAUGAUAAAAUUUUAUUCGAUACUAAAAUAUUAAUAUUUAAAAUUAAUAAUUUGGAUAAAAUAACAGUCUAAAAGCAGCAUCGGGAGGUCAAAAUUGGAUGUCAAUAGCACUUUUAUCUAAAUAUGAUGUGUUUGUCGAGUAUUGCAGGAAAAUAGGGUCAGAAGUGAGUGGAAUGGAAUAAGAAAGAAAAAUGCACCAAAUAGCAGAAAACUUUCUGGGAAACAAGUUGCUGGGUCAUGCUACGACUCAUCGUUCAGGUCGUAGCCAUCCUAGUCCACAAAAAGACAAAGGAUAGAAGGGAAAAGUGACAACUCGUAGAGCCAGACUGCGAGUCAUAGGCUGAGGUGUUCUGAGCAAAAUGAGCAAAGUCCUGAAAGGUAUAUUUUGAUAGCAGUGGAGACGAAAGCUGACAAUGAGUCGUAGGGUCAGACUAUGACUCAUCUUAAUACUCAUUCUGAGUGUGUGGAGAAAAGUUCUAAAAAUUAGAAGAUGUAGCAUUGGACCUAACGAGUCGGGAGACGGCUUGCAUAGUUCCAUAACAAGUCAUCACUAGCCAUAGGAAAUCUAGAUGAUAACUGCAAUAGAAGGUGGAUAAUGAGUCAUCGUUAGUCUAGAUGACUCGUCGCCUAAGGUGUCAUCCUUACCAACUUAAGUAGUCCUGUUUUGUUUAGGAAAAAAUUAAUGUAACUAUAAAUAUUCCUUUGAAGUUUUAUUGUUAGUUUACACUCCACAUAUUUUUACACAUUUUUUGAGUUCUGAGAUAAAUUAUUAAUCUUGAAAUUAUUGUUAUUCAUUUUUAGGGUUUAUAAUUGAAUUAAUAUUUUGGGUUUUUUAUCUUCCUCUUUAUAAGUUCAGUAUUAUGUUUCAUCUAUGAAAAUUUUUUUUGAUCUUACAACCAUGAGCAGCUAAACCCUAUAACUAGAAUUGUGGGAUCCCAGAUGAAUUAAUGAAGAAGAUUAAGUGCGAAAUUAUUUUAGAUUGAUGUUUUUGCAUGUAUUAGGAUUUCCUUUGCUUUGAUUGCUUUCGUAAUGGCUGCAAACUUUCGAAACUCGCCAGUAUUUGAUACUUUCUCGAGAGAGAGGUAGAGAUUAGGAAAAGGAGAUUACAACAGUAAUCUAAAGAGAUCAACCUUCAUCUAAUUAACUUGAGACCAAGUGGAGAUAGUUAAUUGGAGGUCAUAAAACAAGGGUUAGUAAUGUGACACUCUAAGAUCGAAAAGAGAUGAGUGAAAUUCAGCCAAACCAAGAUCGAGAGACGGUUAUGUGAUACAUAACUUGUUAGAUUUUGCAUGCAAGGCAUAGAGAUUGUUUGACAAGCACAAACAUUCUGUGGAGUGAUAAAGUUAGAGGGAACACAAUCCUAGUGCUCGUCACACAUUGGUCACAACCCUAAUUGCCCAACAACUAUUACUAUUACUCUCAUGAAUAAAAAACCCCCUUUUCAUUUACGUAAUUUUCAAUUACAUCAGCAAGCUCUUGAUAGAUUUUUUCCCUAUUCCUUAUGGAAUCGACCCCAACCUAGUUGGAUUCUAUAUUUGACAAACGACCGCCUUAUACUUUAUUAGAAGUGUAAUUUGGGCAACAUUAAUAGUCAUCUAAUAGGAAAAUAAAUUCAUUUAGAUGAACAUAACCUAUUGAUUUUACCUGCCACGAACUGAGAGAGAUCACUGCUACAAAACCUACAAAGUUAAGAAGUUAUAGGAAAUACAAUUCCAUUGCCUUUAUUAUAUUAAUUACAAAUAACUAAAAUCAUCAAUUAUUAGUACUAAAAGUCUGAAUUAUAACCACCACCACUCCUUAGAAGAAAUUAUUUAUUGGUUGUUUUGAUAAACAUAUCGAUAGGGAUUUUGGCUAAUUCCUCAUGAAAUUGACCCCAACCUAGUUAGAUUCUAUAUUUUCAAUGGCUGCUUUGAAAUUUUACCGAAGGUGUAAUUUAUGUGACAUCAAAUUUUGGUUUUGUUGCCAGGGAAACCAACCGCAUUUACCUUUUCUGCCCCCACUAUUGAAAACUGCUUUAUGAACAAACUAAAUCUGAUUCUUAGUUGUGCUAACUCCUGCGAGCAAUAGAAUCAUCAACUAUUAUCUGUUCUGUGGAUAAUCCUAUCAUAUAAGUUCAUGCAGGCAUGUCUGUCUCUCAAAUGUGCUAACCCCUCUUGGUUUUAGUAAUCCUAUCUAGAAUCUCAGAAGCCUGCUCCUAAGUAAAACUCACAAUGCUCUAUCGAUGAUAAUGUCCACCAUAACCUUAUUGUUCGCAAUCAGAACCCUCUGUAGAGGAUUUCAAGUAAAGUUUGGCUCGGUAUUCUAUGGUUUAGGACAUACUGCAACUUUUUCUUAAAUUUUAAGCAAGUUUUGUGCAAUGCUUCUAACUGUAUCUGCCUAAAGUUAUAAAUCUUAUAUUUCAAUUAUAAUAUUAUAGAAGUGGGACAAAAUUGCUCCAAAAAUUAUGUCUUUUUCUCUUGCCAAUUUGUGAUUGGCCCUUAUGGCAGCUCGAUCAACCAUAAAGUUGUUUUCCAGUUAAAGAGAAGGGAAACAACCGCAAUCUAAUAGCAUCCUGACUCACACUCGAUAGGUUGUAGAAAGUGCAAAUCCCUACAAAGUUCAUCAAAUUAAGGUUUGCAUCAGUAGUAUGAAGGCCCGUGAAUACUCCUUUUACGUUCAGUAACUAUAUCAUAGCACUAAUAAUGUCAAACUUGUUUUUUAAUGGCAAUUGUAGUGGAAUAAUGGCACCUAUAUCAGUCACCUCAAGCAAGUUUAGAUCAUCCUCUACAUCAUUAAAUGGAGUAACAUAAUGUUGGGUGUUGUUACCCCUUAUUCCUUUUCUACCUAUUUUGUUCCUCGAGUGCGACUAGAUGUGUUGUUUCUACUUAUCUUACUCAUUCUUAUCUUUUUGCCUUCGUAGCAACUUCUUACCUUUCCUAAUCUUCAACAACUAGUCAAGCAAUGAUUUGCUCAGUUGUCUCCUGAAGUCCUAGGUUUUGUACCCCUUGGUUCAGAACUUCCCGUCAUGAACUCUUUCGUUAAUCAUUCUUCUUCUAGUUCUCAGAGUCCUUUCAUUCUCAGGAUUAAGAAGAAUUAGGGUAUCACCUUGACUCCAAGUGUUGGGCAUGCACAGAUGUGCGUCCUAGAAACAACAUAAAUAAGUAAGAUCAUAGAACAGAAACCAAUAACUAAACAAACAUAAUCUAUCAACUUCGCAAUCGUAUUCCCUAAAAACAGUGCCAAAAUUUGAUGUCGCCCAAAUAUACCUACAAUAUAAGUAUAAAGUGGUUAUUUAUCAAACAUAGAAUCCAACUAGGUUUGGGUCGAUCCCACGAGGAACAAGCUAAAAUCUCUAUCAAUGUAUUUAUCUAAGUGAUCAAUAAAUAAUUUCCUGUAAAGGGGGAGGUUGUAAUUCCGACUUCCAAUAGUAAUAAUUGGCGAUUUUAGUUGUUUGAAAUCAAUAUGAUAAAAGCACUAGGAUUUUGUUACCUAUAACUUCUUAACUCUAUAGAUCUCGGCGUUUAACAUGCAGAAUCGAUAGGUUAUGUUCAUCUAAACGAAUUUAAACCUCUAUUAGAUGUCUAUCCUCAAUUAUGUAUUAUCUUCUCAUGAAUUUUGCACUACUAGCCCCUAUCAUGGAUCCUAGAUUAAUUAUCGUAUUUAUCAGCUUAAGCUAUUAAAUGAAUGUUGAUAGCUUCAUGCCUCAUUUUUAAUUCUCUUUUUCCAUCUGUUACACCUUCUUUAGUUGCGAGUAAGGAUAACUUGAGUUUUAAUGUUGGUUACCGUUAAAAAGCAAUCAAACCAAAGAGAAUAACAAUACAUGCACAAACACCAUUUGAGAAUAACAUAGUAUUUUAAACGCAACUUUGUUCAUCCGUUAUGGUUCCAAUAAUUCUAGUUAUAGUGUUUAGCUAUUCAUAAUUGUAAGCACACAAGAAUAAUUCUGAUAAGAAAUCAUAAUUAUGAAAUUACGAAGAAGAUGAAAGCCACAUAGCUCACUUUGAAUAAAAAUCCUAAAAACCGAUGUUAUACUUCAAACAAAAAUAUGCCUCAAAAGUAUCAAGAGAAUGUAAAUUAAUACAAUAAACCUAAUAAGAGUAUUUAUAGAUAAAAACAAAACCUAUCCUAAAUGUACUAAGACUUGCAGAGUUGACGCCUCAGAUGAAGGAUAGAACGAUUGUUGGUAGAUAACACGAUCAUGUCUACUGUUUGUUUCUGGAAGGCUAACUUUACCCUUGUAGAUGUUGCUGGAAUAAUCUUCAGGAUGAGCUCGUUAAAUCAAGGGAUGAUCAUUACUUCCUACCGCUGCAUCCAUUUUUAAUUUUUUACUUUGCAAUCCUCCCACGAUCUUCGGGACGAAUCUAUUGUACCUUCUAAUGAUCGUGGGAUCCUCUCAUCUGUUCUUCUUCAUGUUUUAUUCUCUGAUUCAUCAUAGGGUCUUAUAGAAGACCGUUAUUAGAUCCAACGAUCGUUCCUAGGCUCGUUUGAUGUCUUUAAGUUCAAAUUACGUACUGCACUUUACUUCUCCGGGCCUGUUUAACCUCCAAAUGCAAUAAAAGUACAUCAUACCCAUAAAAACAUGUCUUUAAAGUAGCAAUUUAUUUUUAAGUGUCAUAAGUCUAUGACAUAUAUUUUGCUGCAGAAAGCUGAGCUUUGUAUUCAAUUCGUCGACAAUAUAAGAAACUUUCAAGUAAAUAAUUUUUUGUUGAUUGAUUUUUUGGCGGGUAUUGAAGAAUGGAUGUUGAAGAAGGCAAAAGCAAUGAUUUUUAUGCAGUUUUGUGUAGGUGGAGGAGCCAAUAGUGAAGUUGAUGGUGGUGAUUACUUGGCAAUGGUGGUUGUGGUGGUGAUUACUUACACAGUAGAGGUGGAGGAGAGGAUGAAGGCAGCGAUGAAUUCACAUUUUUUUAUGAUUGCACAGGGCAAUGAAAAUUCAAUACUUCAUGCCUCCUAUCAUUUGUGUUGAACUCAAAUCCGUCACAAUUAAGGGGUUGGACUGGUUAUGACAUUUAAAAGGGUUAUUUAUUUUAUUUUAAAGCAGUUUAAGGGGUAAUACAAUUCCUAUGAAAUAUAAGUGGGUAGUUGAUAAUUGACUAAUAGAUUUGGAGGCAUUUGACUAUUUUCUCUAAUUACUUCUAUUGAAAGUAGUACAAAUUAAUUAUAACAUGUACACAUACCUGCUUGGCUGUAAUUUUCUCUCCUUUAAUGGUUAUAAUUAUCUCAACAAAAUUGAUGAAGAUAAUUGACCAACUACCUCUUUACGUGAGCAACAACAAAUUAGCUGUCCCGAAAUUCAUAAACUUCUCACGCUAGAGAAUCUCAACACAUGCUUGAAUUUGCCUUUGCUUUUUCACUUUGUCAACAAUCUCUUCCUUGCUAAACAUACCAUCAUUAUUUCUUGUUUUAUUUAGAAAAAUCUAUUUUUCUCUCAAUAUAUGGUGUCCUACGUACUCUCUUAUUUAGCUCUCUCUUUGAAUUUUUCGUAAGAUAGAGUAUAGAAAUAUCCGUAAGAUUGUUGGAAAUUUUAUGGAAAAUGUUUUUUCUUGAAUACUUCUAUGAAAUUCACAUAACUUGAGGCGUGUCAGACAUUGUCCUUAAGGAUAUUUUACCCGGUAUAAAUGAUCCUUCAGGAUUAAUAAACUCUUCUAAUAUUAAAUUUAGAGCCAGAAACUAAAAAAUAAAAUUAACAAAAAAAAUCCAGUAUAAGAGAAGAGAACCAAAAGAAUGCAUCUUAAUAUAUUAUUCUCAACAAUGAGAAAUAGAAGAAUAUAUUGGCAGAGAAUAGUUUGAUUUGACCUUCUAAUUGCAACGUCUCUUGUGAAGAUGAUAAAGGCCUUAGAGAUCAUAAAGGUCAUAAAGGUUAAAAGAUGUUAUUUGUUGUGUUAAUUAACGAAAAUUAAUAGGAUGGUAAUUGAAAUAAAGAAUCAGCUUUAGUUCCAACAUUAUUAGCCAUUAAAGUUAUUCAAAUGUGAAAUAUUUGUGUCAAAGAUGUUAUACAGAUUAUGAAAAUACUCCCUCCGUUUCGUAUUAGUAGAACUUUUUUCUAAAAAUAUUUGUUUCAAUUUAGCUCUCCGUUUCGUAUUAGUAGAACUUUUUUCUAAAAAUAUUUGUUUCAAUUUAGCUCUCUUUUAUAAAAUCAAAAGAAUAUUAUUAUGUUCUUCCGAUAUUAUCCCUUUCAUUAAUGACUAAAUAAAGUGUAUAAACUUAAAUUUAUAUUUUCAAAGUAUAAUUAAUGAAGUUAAUUUGGUAAAUUAAAUUCCUAAUAUAUUUUUUCUUAAUGAGUUUGUCAAGUCCAUAGGGACCAACUAAUAUGAAACAGAGGGAGUACUCAAAAAAGCUUAUUUACUUUUUGAAAUAUCCAACAACUCGCUCUUGUCUCACUUUUAUUUUUCGACUAUUUCAAAAAAAAAAAUCACUUUUAUUUUUCAGUUUUAACAUAUCAAGAAAAGAUAAUUAUUUUAUCCAUAUUUUAAGAAGAAUAUAUUGGCAGAGAAUAGUUUGAUUUGACCUUCUAAUUGCAACGUCUCUUGUGAAGAUGAUAAAGGCCUUAGAGAUCAUAAAGGUCAUAAAGGUUAAAAGAUGUUAUUUGUUGUGUUAAUUAACGAAAAUUAAUAGGAUGGUAAUUGAAAUAAAGAAUCAGCUUUAGUUCCAACAUUAUUAGCCAUUAAAGUUAUUCAAAUGUGAAAUAUUUGUGUCAAAGAUGUUAUACAGAUUAUGAAAAUACUCCCUCCGUUUCGUAUUAGUAGAACUUUUUUCUAAAAAUAUUUGUUUCAAUUUAGCUCUCCGUUUCGUAUUAGUAGAACUUUUUUCUAAAAAUAUUUGUUUCAAUUUAGCUCUCUUUUAUAAAAUCAAAAGAAUAUUAUUAUGUUCUUCCGAUAUUAUCCCUUUCAUUAAUGACUAAAUAAAGUGUAUAAACUUAAAUUUAUAUUUUCAAAGUAUAAUUAAUGAAGUUAAUUUGGUAAAUUAAAUUCCUAAUAUAUUUUUUCUUAAUGAGUUUGUCAAGUCCAUAGGGACCAACUAAUAUGAAACAGAGGGAGUACUCAAAAAAGCUUAUUUACUUUUUGAAAUAUCCAACAACUCGCUCUUGUCUCACUUUUAUUUUUCGACUAUUUCAAAAAAAAAAAUCACUUUUAUUUUUCAGUUUUAACAUAUCAAGAAAAGAUAAUUAUUUUAUCCAUAUUUUACUCUUAACAUUAAUUAGUUACUCUCAAAAUUAUUUUCAAGACCUAAUACAUGUGCCAAGUUCAAAUACAACGUAACAAAUAAAAAUUAACGAAAGAAGUAUAUAAAUUUAUCUGAUUAGGUAAUUGACCCAACUUAGAUUUUUGUUCAAAACUUAAAAAUUUUCCUCCAAUGCUUCCUUUCAACUCCCACCCCACCUAGCAACCAAAAACCAUCAAUAGUUAGACGUAUUUCUUGGUGAAUUCAACUAUAAAUUACUCAAGAAUCAAUCUAUGUAUAAUAUAAAGGAAGGUCAUAGAGCAGGUGAUGUGGUAGCUCUAUAUGGUCUCCGUUCUUAUUUAUCUUUUUUCUUCUUUUUGACUUUUUUUCAUCUUUUUUUUUAAUUAUUUAAUUUUAUAAAAUCAUCUUCUUAAUUGACGUUGAUAAUAUUCAUAACUCUCAAUCCUUUUAUAUUCAUAACCCUCAAUUAUUUAUUAUACAAGUUUAUGACACAUUAAAAUCAUAUUAAUAAAUUUUGUUUUUUGAUAAUAAUAAAAAAUUAUUUUGAGCUAUAUAUAAUGGUUACUCUAUUUUCAUUUCUUCAUGUUCUUCAUCGUUUGUCUCUUUGGUUAAUUAAUUUUUUUAUUUGAUUUUACAGAUUACAAGAAGAUAUUACAAUAAAAAUGGAUAGAUAUUUCUGCAUGGUUCAAUUUUAAGAAGUUAAAUGAAUUGAUAUGCCUAAUAUAGUUACAACUCUUACUUUGUUGUAUUAUACAUUUAAUAUUAUUUAUUUGAAUUUUUGAUGAUAUGAUUUCUUAAAAAUUAAAUUGAUUUUUCUCUUUGCUUCUCUUUAUAGUUUUUAGAAACUUUGAUUAAUAUGUGUUAUUAGCUUUGUAUUUUUGAAAGAAUUUGAUUAUGUUAUGUUGACAAUAAAUGUUCUUCUUUCCUCUUUAACUCAUUUUUUUGAUGAUAUAAUUUCUUAAAAAAUGAUUUAAUUUUUUCUCUUUGCUUCUCUUUAUAAUUUUUAGAGAAUUUGAUUUUUUUUCUUUAAUUUCCUUUGUAGUUUAGGGAGAAUUUGAUUGUCUUAUCAAUAUAUAAUAAUAAUAAAAAAUUAUAUAUUGCUAACUUUAGUUUAUGCAUCUUUUUACCAAUUGAAAUUCACAUGUUUUUUUUGGUAUAUACGUACUAUGGCAAGUUCUAACACAUUCCUUCUUAGAAAAAAUCUUUGAUGUCACCUAUUUGUUUUCCCAUAAAAUUUUAAAAAUAUGUUAUCUUUUAUUGUUUUAAAAUUUUCACCUUCAUGACUUAUAAUUAUUAAAGUUUUACUCUUAAUAACAUCAUUAACUCCAUAACCUUUGAGUUUUUACAUUCAUAACCUUCAAUUAUUUAAUUAUAAAAUUUAGAGAAAACACCCUAUUUCACCUUUGAACUAUACCCAAAACGGUUGAAACACACCUCAACUUAACGGGAGUCCGAUUACCCCCUGAACUAAUUAAAAGUGUAAUUUUGACACCCUUAGUGCCUACGUGGCACAUACGUGGCACACACGUGUGCCUACAUGGACCUUCAAUGUGUUGUACCACGUAGGCACUAAGGGUGUUAAAAUUACACUUUUAAUUAGUUCAGGGGGUAAUAGGACCCCUUUUAAGUUGAGGUGUGUCUCAGCCGUUUUGAAUAUAGUUCAAGGGUGAAAUAGAGCAUUAUCUCUAAAAUUUAAGAUGUCUUAUGAUAUUAUAUUCCUCCAUUUUCGUCUAUAUAAAGUCACAAUUCUUUGUGAUCAUGAGACUCAUGCUCAAGAAUAUAUCUUUUGUUAUAUAUUUUAAAUAGUGUUUCUUAUAUUAUUACUAUUAUUUAUAGUAUCAAAUUCAAGUUUUAACUUGACUCGACAAAGAAGACAUUUGAAGGUUAGUCAAUUUGUCAAAAAGGGUGUUGGACAAGAGCUCAAAAUACUAGGCAUUACUUCUGUAUUUUUUUUUAAUGUAUAGUUUCUUAUGGUUAAGAACCCAAGGAAGGUGUGUGUAUGUUGUGUGUAAAUGUGAUCUCUAUGUAAAUUCUUUAGUUUGAACUUUCUUGAUUUUUUAAUUAUUGUAAGUUGUAUUUUUAUUUAAGCACAAAUUAGUACUCUAGAGAAUCUGCGAACUACUAACCAAGGUUCAAACAAUAUCGUUGAAUAUACAGAAAGAUCUUAUUCACUCAUAAUAGUUCAUAUCCUUUACUUUCUGCUUCAAGAUUUCAACUUUCUUCUGUUCCUCGCAUAUGAGUUCUGUCCAUUUUGAAUUCUCCUUCAAUUUCUCUUCAUAUUUGGUCCUAGGGAAGAUUGUUGUUCAUUGUAAUCCUUAGCAGAGUAUCUUGAAUUUUUUAGAUUUGAUAAAUCCCCAAGAUAUUAUUGAUUAGAUAGUGUUAACCUUUUCUACUUGUUUUUAAAAAAGAAAAAACUGAUCAUCCUCUAUUCAAAUGAAACUGGAAGGUUGCGUAUCUUCUUACCACUAACAUGAGUGGGAUAAUGAAAUUGUAAUAUCCAGGUCACUAAAUUGAUUGAUAAACGCAACAUAAUGACCAACUAAUUGUAACUUCUACAGAAGAAGAAACAAAUGCAUAAAAUAAAAUUAUAGUGUUAUUAGGAAAUUAUAUAUUUUAUUUUAUUAAUUAAGAAUUUACUAUCCCUCAUUAGAAAAAAUGAUAAAUUUGCUAAGUUUAUAUAUAUUCUUGAAACUAUCUUCAUACUAGUAUUUUUUUAAAAUGAUAAUAUUAAUUUAAAAAAUAAAGUAAAUAUAAAAUUAAUCAUAACGAAUGUUUCUCUAACAAUUAUUUUAAUAAUUGUGAGCGCAAAGCGCGACCAAGUUAUCUAGUAUAUAUAUAUAUAUAUAUAUAAAGGAAACUCUUAGUCAAUCCUAUAUGGCAUGCCUUAGAGGCCUCUAAAACUAUUUAUCUUUUUUGUGGGUUUUCUCGUAUAUAUAUAUAUAUAUAUAUACACACACACAUAUGUAUGUGUGUGUGAAUAAAACUAAAUCAUCAAUUGUAGUCACUCAAAGAAAACAUCCGUUUUUUUAAAUGAUUUUUAAUAUAUUCCUUUCUUUUAUGAUUUUUCAUCUUUUCUUUUUAAUGUUUUAUGUAUCCUCUUAUAGUCUAAUUUAUCUCUUUUUUAAUUCUAAUUAUAAAUGUACAAAAAUGAUAGUAUCUCCUAAUGUUUGAAUUUUUUUUAUUUAAUUAAAAAAACUUUUCAUAACUCAAACCUCUUUAAUUUACACUCUUAAUGAUAUUCAUAUCUCUCAUUUUUUUUAUCUUCACAAUCUCCAAAAUUUAAUUUGUAAAUUUAUGAUGCCUUAUGAUAGUCCUCCAUUUUAUCUAUAGAAAUUCAUGUUUUAUGUCAUGAAAAAUCUCAUUUAAGUUAUUCUUUCCCUUCUUUAUCACUAUAGCCUCCUCUAAAUUAGCUAAAUUGUGAAAGAAAAAAAUAAUGCGAAGACAAAAAAAAAUUGUUACUCAAAAUCUUUCUUUUCAUCUUUUAUUAUUUGAUCACAUUUAGUUUAUGGGGUAUUAUGAUACAUCAAGAAGGCAAGAAAGAAUGUUCAAGAAGUUUUGAUAGAAUUAUAUAUAGUUUGAAUUACUUCUUGCUCAUUGAUUACUUAUUGGUAUGUAUAAUUUUAAUAAAAAUAUUGUAAAGGUUAAUAGAAUUUAGUGAAUAUUUAAAUAUUCAAGAAAAGAUGAAGGAAAAUGAAUCAAGAUUUUUCUAUUUUUUAUGUGAAUAGUUCAUUUUCUUUUUUUAAAAAGUUAUUUUAAUUAAAUAUUUUAUGUUAUUUGUAUAUAAUUGUGUAAAAAAAAAGUUCUUUAAUUAUUGAUGAGUGUUUCAUUUUUAUUAUUGAUCACUAAAAAUUAAAGAUGAAAUAAUUUAUUUUAUAAUAUCAUUAAUUCUUUCUUUACAUAUAUAAUUUUUUUGUCAACUUUUUCCUUGCUUGAAAUGUAGUUAAUAAUUAUUUUUGGUUUUUUUUUUCACUUAGUGUAUAUAAUAUUUUCUAUUAUUUUAUUUUUAUUUUGAAAGAGAUGAAUAGAUAUUUCUUUAAUUAUUACAUUAUAUCGGUAGAGUAUGUAGACAUUUUAUUAUUAUAAUACUGAAAUUAAUGUAUUUUUUUAUCAUGUUUCACAGAUUAUUUUGUAUAGAAAUUGUUAGAGCCUAAAGGCAAACAUGUGACAUGAAAAAGAAUAGAAUUUAAGAAUUUGGAUAUGAAAUUGAAAAGGAAAAGAGAAUUGGCACCAUGUUUUUAGGCUUAAGUCACUUCUCGCCUUUUAAAGUUGCAUGUAGUGUUAACCUAAACAUCUCAACUAAAAUUAUAAUUAUUGUACAUCUAGAUUAUCCAAAUAUGUACAUAUUUAAAGUUAAUGAUAUAAUCACAUCUUUUGAGAAUUCUCACCUCAUAUAAAAGAAGAUGUACCUAUUUGAAAUUAAUGAUAUAACUGUUGGACAAUAAAAUUUCGAGACCGAAAAAUAAAUAAUCGAGACAAGAAUAAUAUUGCAACAAUCAAUGUAUUGAUUUCAAUGUGAGUGUUACAAUCUCUAUGAAUCCUCUGAUUCGCCUUUUCAAAUAUAAAUUCAAGUGUUUAAAGCUUGAUCUUGAAUUUGAACUUGAUUUGUUGAUUUGAUGGACUUGAUCUUGACUUGUGCUUGAAUUCAAGGGUUUUUUUAGCUUGUUCUUGAAUCUUGCGGUCUUGAUCUUGAAUCUUGAUUAACUGGAAUUGAGUGUUUGAGCUUGGUAGAGAAAUUGCAGCGUUUGAUCCACGAGUUUUCUCUUAUUUCUUGUUAGAGUUCUUGAUCUUUUUUCGGAAUUAUGAGAUCCCUAUUUAUAGUUGUGGAAAGAAAAGAGUCAUGAUGAAGAUGGACUCUCUUUGACCAAUCAAAUUCAAGUGACGUGGCGCCUUUUAUGGGGUUUUGAUUUUACUCAGCUUGCUGCAUCAUUUUGACAUGUGGCAUGGUCCUACUGGCUCCUUCCCAUGACUUUGCAUGCCACGUCAUUUGACACGUGACGAUCAUUUGGGCCUCUAGAUUAUGACAAUAUCUUGGGCUUAGCAAAGUGGACUCACCAUUUGUAGCCCAAAUUAAUGGACUAGCCCAAUAAUUAUUGGACUUUAUUUAAAUCCAUAUAUGUUCGGACUUAAAUAAUUAAUCCAAUUAUAUUAAUCUGCAAUAUUUAUUUGGGACUAACAUAUUUUCAAUUUAUUAUAAUUCGAAUUUCAUAUGAAUUUAGAUUUAAUAAAAUUUCAUCGCCCACAAUAACCACAUCUUUUGAAAAUUCUCUUCACAUGUAAAAGAGUGUCGAGAUUCAAAGCGCAAUAUUUAACGCACCAAAUUAUUACAAAAAAUGAUCGUUAAUAGAUAAAUAUUUGCAUGUCAGUGUAUCUUAUUUAUAUCUAACUAAACAAUUAAUCUAUAAUACUUAUAAAACUAAGAAUAUAUAAAACAAUAUAACACAUCUCUUUUUCCAAGAAAUAUAAUGACGUAUUUUUUUCUCCUUUUGGAGAGUUUUCUCUAUAUUUUUCUUCAUUUUUGUGCCUUAUUAUAAAGCUAAAAUAUUCACUCUUUUAAAUCAUUUAAGUAUAUUAUAUUAAAUAUGGAAGUUAAGAUACUAAAAAGUCAUUUUCUUAAAGUUCUUUAUGUAAAACUUAAUGGUCUUUAUUUCAUUACUUUCACAAAUUUUUAUUAUCGUAAUUCCUAAAACAAUUAAUAAUCAUAUUCAUAACAUUAUUUGGUGUUCCAUAUUGUAGUCAUGUAAAUAGAUAUAUUAUAAGACUUUGUAGAAAUAAUCACAUUUGUCAUUUAAGUUAUUAGAGUAUAUUUUUCGCUGCUUAUUAUAUUCAUUAAAAUAGCAACAUAUUACUGAAAAUCUAAUAUAUAACUAUUACCCAAACAUUUGUCUUUAUGAAAUCUCAAUUAUAUUAAUAAAAUUAUUGAUAUCUUACAUAUUUUAUAAGACCGCGCAAAGCACGAACAAAUUCACUAGUUUAUUAUAAUAGAAUAAAAUUACUAUUUAGAUAUAAACAAAAAUACCACUACCCAAUAACAUAACUAUUUGAUCGUAUUUACCAUAAAUAUUAUAUAACUUGGAACCAAACAUGGUAAAUCUAUAUAUAAUAUAAAGGACAGUCACAGACAAGGUAAUGUGGCACCUCUCUAUGACCUUCAUUUCUAUUUAUCUAUUUUUUUCUUUUUUAAAUUCUUUUCUCAUUUUUAAAAAUUAUUUUUCAAUAAAAAGUUUUAUAUAUAUAUAUAUAUAUAUAUAUAUAACUCAUAUCUUUUCAUCUUCAUAACAUCUACUCUUAAUUAAUACUUAUUGUUAACAUCCAUAAUUCCCAAAGCUUUGAUGUUUAUAACUUUAAUGCAUUAUACCUUCAAGUUUUUGUUUAAUGAAGUGGAUGCUAUAAAGUUUUCAGUUGGCCUAGCACAUUUUCUUAUCAACGAGUUCUUGUUUCAAUUUUAGGACUUUGUGCAUUUUCACCCAGCUUGGAUGAUUCAUUUUUGGCUCUUCCGGCCAGUACACCAAAGGAUCUUUGUUAGUCUAUAAUGUUUUCAACCUCCAUUUGUACUGUGAGGUCGCAUUUUUUACUGUCAUGUAUUAAUUUUACGCGAUCAUUAUAAAAAGGUCAACGAAUUUAUUUAAGGUAUGAAUAAAAAGCAUUUUAGAACAUAAUUUUAAUUUCAUCUUUUUUUUUUAUUUUAUUUUUAAAAUGAUUUGAAUAUGUUAUGUUGUAAUAUAUUAUAUCUUGCCAAUUUAAUUCUUUAACUACAGUAUUUUCUUGCAUUUUUCAUGCUUAGUUUUUUUUUUCUGUUUUAGAAAGAUUUGGUUAUAUUAUAUUGUAAUAGAGUUCAUCUUUUACUUGCAAUUCUUAACUAUAGUAUUCCUUACAUUUUUCAUGCUUAGUUAUUUUUUUAUUGAUGAUAUUAAUAUUUUAUAUCUCCAGGUUACUAUAUUUUGAAAAGUGGGAGAAGGAAGACAACUCAUACGUGCAUGUUGCUUAAGAAACAAUACAUAUUUCCUCAGACAAAUUUUGAAUAAGCCUAUUAAUAGAAAAUAAAAAUGUAAAGUUAGUUUGUGGUACUUUCUAUAAUAUAGUUUAAUUCAUAAAAAUUAUUUAUCGACAUAUAAAAAUGUAAUCCUUAAGUUUUCUUUUUGGUUAUUGAUUAAACUUCUCAAUAUUCUUAGGUUUUCAUAGAUCAUUAUAAUAAGUGGUGAAGUCAAAAUUUUCACUAAGGGAGUUUUAAAAUGCGUACGCUAACUAGCCCAAGAGGGUUCAGAUGAACCCCUAAAUAUGUGCUAGCUCCGUCUUUAGUUAUAGUCCUAUGUUGUCCUAAACUAUCUUUUAAGAUUACUACCUAACAAAAUUAUAAAAGAUGUUUCGUUCGAUAAAUUAUUUACUAAAGGGAGUUUAAAAAUACGUACGCUAAUUAGCCCAAGAGGGUUCAGAUGAACCCCUGAAUAUGUGCUAGCUCCGCCGUAAGUUAUAGUCAUAUGUUGGCAUAAACUAUCUUUUAAGAUUACUACCUAACAAAAUUAUAAAAGAUGUUUCGUUCGAUAAAUUAUUUACUAAAGGGAGUUUAAAAAUAUGUACGCUAACUAGCCCAAGAGGGUUCAGAUGAACCCCUGAAUAUGUGUUAGCUCCGCCUUUAGUUAUAGUCAUAUGUUGGCUUAAACUAUCUUUUAACGUUACUACUUAACAAAAUUAUAAAAUAUAUUACGUUCGAUAAAUUAUUUACUAAUGUCAUUUGUCGUCCCUAAUGAAAAGACCACACAAGAAUCAUGCAUAAUUUUUUUAUUUAAUUAUAAUCUCAUUACCAUUGUAUUUAUGAUUAAUAGUUGAUUAUGUCAUCAGUUAUAAAAUAUCUUUCAUCUCUAUUGGUAUGCCCCACUAUAUUGCUCUCCUAUAUAUGCUUAAUGUCCACAGCUUCACUCUUUACUAUUUAACAUUUUGCAACAGUGUGAUUAUGAUCAAGACUACAGGUAUGUUUGAUAUGGAGGAAAACAUUUUCCAGAAAAUGUUUUCUAAUUUUCUCAUGUUUGGUUGGCUUAAAGGUUUUGAAAAAUGUUUUUCAAAUCAACUUAUUUUCCUCAUUUCUAAGGAAAAUGACUUUCCUUCAAAAAGUAAGGAAAACAUUUUUCAAAACUCUCUUUCAACCUCUCUCAUAAGUUGAAAUAUUCAUACAACCCUCAAAAUCACUCAACCCUACUCCGACCCCCUACCUCCACACGCCCCUCCCCCCUUUUUGGGUUGCAUAACAAAUAUCUGGAAUGGAUUAAUUGCUGCUUCAAUGUUUCAGCAUACCGUAUUGCAAAAAGAUAUAGUGAUCAUUUUGAAGUUGUGUGUCUGUUCCAGUAUCUGAGCCAAAAGAAAAAACUGGAAGCUGAAGAGAGGCGUGUUAAACAGAAAAAAGCUCGNNNNNNNNNNNNNNNNNNNNNNNNNNNNNNNNNNNNNNAUUUUUUUUAAAAAAAUUAAAAUUGCUUAUACCCCACCCUUAUUACCUAUUUUGACAACUUCAAGCCCCACCUACCACCCCUCUUCAAAAAAAAAUAAUAUUUUUAAUUUAUUUUCUUAAAAAAAUUUAGAACUUUUUUCUUACCUCACCCUUUUUAUCCUAUUCAUUCUUAUUGUUUUUGUUAAAUAUAUACAAAUACUUUUAGAAAACAUAUACUUAUCCAAUUUGCAUAACGAACACACGAAUAUAAGUAAGAAAUAACUUAUUUUUCUAGAAAAUAUUUUUCCUCCUUCAUAUCGAACACACCCUAAAAAAGGUAUUUUUUGAGAUCAAAAAUUAUUUUUCUAAAAUAUAUUUUUAUGCUUUAACUAAACGCUAGAAUGUAUUUUUUGAAAAAUAUUUUUUCAUUCACCAAUCAAAUACUAUAAAAUAUUUUGCAUCAACCAACCAAACAUAGAAAAAAAGUAAGAAAUCAACUUGUUUUUCAGGAAAACAUUUUUCUUCAUACCAAACACAGCCUACGAGGAAAAAAAAUUAUAGGUGGGAGACAAGAAGUUUGGACAAAUAUAUGGUGGUGGUGGAUACCUAUUGAAGUUGUUAAAGUAUGACACUAAAAUUUUUUGCUAUAACUUGAAAGUGUUAGCAUCAAUCAAAUUAUGACCUUGAAUUCUCUCGAUUUGAAAAUUCAAGAUUUACUUCAAUAUUCUCAUUUUUUUUAAAAAAAAAAUAUUUCUCCUAAUUUGCAUUAGGUUAAUCUAAAGAACUCAUUGCAAUUGAAGUUUAGUAUUUCACGAUGUACAAUAAUUUAAUAAUAAUUAUUUUUGAUAUUUAAAUAUCUUAACAGUUGUCACAAGUAAGAAAAAGUUUUGUCAUAAUCUAUUAUGCUUAUACAAAAGUUUUUUCAGCGAAAUUUUUUUGUUAUAAUGAUAAUAACAAAGUGAAUUUAAUUAGUCACAAAUUUAUAAUGUUUGAACACUGAAAGAUUCACAAUAUACUCUAGGGAUGAAAAAAUUAUUUUUGUGUAUAUUGAUAUGAUACUACAUGUGUUUGGUAUCAUUGUAUACAACUAAAACAUUCUGUGAUCGAGUUUCAUAAUUUAAGAUCCUUUGAUUAUUUUUUAAUAUAUUAAAAAUAGAUUAAAUUAUAUAUUUAAUAAUGUAUUUCAUAACCGCACGAUGCAAGGCUAAGUUUACUAGUAGCAUACUAAAACAAGAUAAAUUUCAACAAUAAUGUGAAAAUUAUUUGAAAUAAUAGUGAAUAUUAAUUAAAUGCGAACCAAUUAAAACCACGACCAGGGAGACUAAACGAGAAGUUAGAAAGAAAAAAAUGGACAAAACAACAGAAUAAACAUUAUACUCCAUUCGUUCAUAAAUAAGUCAUGUGUAUAGUCUUUUCCUUUUGUAUCUUAAUAAGUGAACUUUUAGAUAAUAUAUGAAGAAAGCUUAUAUGACUCCUUGGAGUGGGGAUUUCUGAAACAAAUGUUUAUAGGCUUGAACUUCCAUGUAUACCAUUCGUUCAGUGGAUUAUGAAGUGCAUUACUACACUACAGUAUCCUACUCAAUAGGAAUUAAUGGUAGACCUUCUAAUCCUUUCCCUGCAAAGAACGGCUUGAGAUAAGGUGAUAUCUUGUCUUGUUAUCUAUUUGUCCUGACGAUUGAAUACUACUUGAUCAGAUUGCUGAAGAAUCCAAACUUUAAUUUCCGUCCUAGAUAUGAACAAAAUGAAUAUAGUGCAACUCGAUCGGAUUUGCAGAUGAUCGCCUAAUUCUAUUUUGUCGAGGAGAUGUUGUUUCCGUCCAAAUGGUAUAUGAAGGCUUUCAACGUUUCUAGAGCCUCUAGUUUAGUUGCAAAUCUAGACAAUAGCUCUGUUUACUUUGGGGGAGUCACUCAAGAUAUACAACAGCAGAUUUUGGAAAGAUUGGAGAUGGUGAAAAAGAUACUGCCCAUAAGGUAUUUUGGAGUUUCACUUAGCACUAAAAGGUUGAUAAUUAUGCAGUGUUAACCACUACUUGAUGAUGAAGUUUGGACACUUUAAUAUUAAUAAAAUACAUCUUUGCAUGUUUAAUACGGUACAUCCGUUAGUGUCCAUGCAUGAACGAAUUCAUUCUUCCACUUUAAGUACUCUCAUUUAGAGAGUAUCAUUAUGUGGAGUAAAUUCUCCUUUUUGAUGCCUAACCGUAACAGUGCUGCUUAUCCAUAGAUAUUGGUUCAAGUGGCAGUGAAUGAAUAACAUUCUUCUGAGUUAUUGGCCAUUACUUGGCUUUAUUUUCUUUUUGUAACCUAUCAUGGCCAUUAGUGGCUCAUUAUAUUGCAACUUACGUUAGAGGGUGAACGUUGACGUAUUGACAUUUAAUCUUUGUAAUUUCUAACCAUUUUAUUCCUCCAUUAUCCUACUCUUUAUGUGUUGUAACUCUUGUAAUUUUGUAACCUCUAUUCUAUUUAUCUUCUCAUUUAUUCAUCCUAUUCAUUGCAUGGAAGAUUUCUUCACCUAUAAAUAGAGGUGAUCUUGCAUGAUUAUGAUAUAUACAAGAUAAUAUAGAGUUCACAAAAAGUUAGUAAAAAAGAGAGUUUAUUAGUUGAAGUGAGGUAUUCUUUUUGCGGAGUUUUGAACUCAACUCUUGUCCAGAGUUGUUGAGUUGUUCUUUGAUAAGGUUGUUGUAUCCUGGAGAAGACAAGUCAAUAAGAUUACUACUAGACCGGUGAAACUAUUUGCUGCUGUAGACUUGAAUCUCCUUAAAGAGAGAGAGAUAUUCGAGCCUCAGCCGAAGAAGAAAAAGAUAUUCCUUUUUAUUUUCUUUACUUGUAAUUUUCAGUUGUAAUUUUAUUGUAAUUUCACUAACAAUUUUAAGGAGAUUCAAUGGCAACAACUGAAAAAUUUGUGGAUAUCAAGAUGGGAGAUCUUAACAAGCCAUUUAGAUUUAACGGUACUCACUUCAAGAGGUAGAAGGGUAAAGAAAGUAGAUAAUUCUUCCAUGACCGACCAUAAACUUAUUUCUCUACGAGAGAAAAUUGAAAAAUAUAAUGGUGACUCCUACAAGUACUGUCGAUAUUUUUUACUUAAUUAUCUAUCUGAUAAUUUUUAUGAUUAUUAUGAUAGAACUCACUCUAGUGCAAAGAAAAUUUGAAAAACCUUGCAGAGUAAAUAUGACACUGAGGAGGCGGGAGCGAAAAUAUAUGCGGCUAGCAGAUUUUUUUAUUUUCAACUGGUGGACAACAAAUUAGUGAUAGACCAAGCUCAAGACUUCAUAAUGAUUGUUGGCGAGCUCAGGUCUGAGGAAGUCAAAAUUGGAGAUAACCUUAUUGUUUGUGGUAUAAUUGAUAAACUUUCACCUUCAUAGAAGAAAUUUCAAAAAACUAUUUGCCAAAAGCAAAAGGAAACUUCUUUGGAGACUUUGAGAAUGAAAAUUCGCAUGGAAGAAGAGGCAAGGGGCCAAGAUGCACUUUUGCAAACAGAAGAAAACAAUAUCACACCGAAGGUAAAUUUAACUUCUUCAAAUAAUGUUUCCCCUGAAACUAACAAAAAUACUCCUUUGAAGACUAAGAAGAAAAAAUUCAAGAAAAAUGAUGGUAAACAUUCCAAGGACAAUAAUAAAGGUGGAAACAACCAAGCAAAAAAUUAACAUGUAUAAGAAAAAAGAUCGUGCUUUAUCUGUGGCAAGAGUGGACAUAUUGCUCGAUUUUACAAAUUUUGAAAACGUGGAUCUACACCUCAGGCAAACAUUACCGAAGAAUUAAUUGUGGCGAUGAUAACAUACAUAAAUAUGGUGGAGAAUAUUGAUGGAUGAUAGGUUGGCUCUGGUGCAAACCGUCAUGUCUGUUAUGACAAUGACUGAUUUGAAAAUAUACUCUUUUUGAGGAUCCCAAAACCAUCAUGCUUGGAGAUUCACACACAACUCAAGUGUUUGGAAUGGGAGAUGUUGAGUUGAGAUUUACUUCUGAAAGGGUAUUAAUUUUAAAAUGUACUUUAUACUCCUUCCAUGAGAAAAAAAUUGAUGUCUAAUUAUCUUCUUAAUAAAGCAGGCUUCAAACAUAUUAUUGAAUUUGACCAAUAUGCAAUUGUGAAAAAUAAUAUUUUUGUGGAAAAGAGGUAUGCAUGUGAUGGUAUGUUCAAGUAAAAUGUUGAAAUGAAGUAACCAUCUACUUCUGCUUAUAUGUUUUCUUCUACUAAUUUUUGGCAUGCUCGUUUGUGUCAUAUAAAUAAUCGUUAUGUGGGAAUAAUGAGUUGUUUAGGAUUAAUUCUAGUGAUCAAAAAGAAUUUUGAAAAAUGUGAGGCUUGUAGUAAAGCCAAAAUCACAAAAAGACCUCAUUUUCAAAUUGAAAAAAAAAGCUGAUUUAUUAGAAUUAGUUCAUACCGAUAUUUGUGAACUUGGAAGAAUUUUAACCCCUAGAAGAAAUAGAUAUUUUAUCACUUUCAUUGAAGAUUUUUCUAAGUUUACAUAUGUUUACUUAAUGAAAAAUAAAAGUGAGAACUUUAAAACUUUUUUUCAUGAAGUUGAAAAUCAGUUUGGUAGAAAAAUAAAAAGAAUAAGAAGUGAUAGAAGCCGUGAAUAUGAGUCACAUGAGUUCAAUUCUUUUGUUAGCUCAUUGGGUAUAAUUCAUGAAACUCCUCCUCCUUAUGCGUCUGCAUCUAACGGUGUAGCAGAAAGAAAAAAUAGAACUUUAGUUGAGUUAACUAAUGUCAGUUUGAGGUUGCUUAACCUAUGUAAGGUUAAUGGAUCCUAAAAUUUCUAAGUUGGGUAAAAAAGUUACUACUUGUGCUUUUCUUGAAGAUAGUGUGCUAAUAGAAUCUGGUGAUGCUAUAUUUCAUGAAAAUAAAUUUCCUUUUAAUUCUAAAAUAGAUGUGGGUCUAAGGACUAAAGAAAAUAUUUUGUCACUACCUAGUUCUUCUACUUAUACUUUAAAAAAUAAAGAAAAUAAUGAUUUUGAGUUAAGAAGAAGUGAACGAGUUAGAGUAGAAAAAGAUUUUGAUCCUGAUUAUUAUGUUUUUAACGUUGGAGAUGACCUUCUCACUUUUAAAGAAGCUUUGUAUUCACAUGAUGCUAUUUUCUGAAAAGAGACUGUAAUUGAUGAAAUGGAAUCACUAAUUUUCAAUAAAACUUGGAAGCUAGUUGAUUUACCUUCGGAUUGUAAAACAAUUGGAUGUAAAUGGAUGUUACGUAAAAAGUUAAAAUCGGAUGGAUCUUUUGAUAAAUACAAAGUUAGGCUAGUGGCUAAAGAUUCUAAACACCUAGAAGGCCAAGAAUUUUUGAUACUUUUUUCUCCGGUAACUAGAAUUACUUUCAUUAGACUUUUAGUUGCUAUUGCGGUAAUUUUUUAUUUACAAAUUCAUCAAAUGGAUGUAAAAACUGUUUCUUUAAAAUGGAGACCUAAAUAAAGAGAUUUACAUAAAACAACCCGAAUAUUUUAUUGAAGCUGGUCAAGAAAGCAAAGUGUGUAAACUUACUAAUUCCCUAUAUGGCUUAAAACAAGCACCAAAGUAAUGGCAUGAAAAGUUUAUUUCCUGCAUGAUUGGUAAUAGAUUUAAAACAAAUGAGUGUGACAACUGCAUAUAUCAUAAGUUUUAGAAUAAUUCACAUGUUAUUAUUUAUCUAUAUAUGUUGAUGAUUUAUUGAUCUUUGGCUCAAACAUGAAUGUUAUUGUUGAAACUAAAAAUAUUCUUAGAAACCAUCUUGAUAUGAAAGAUCUUGGUGAGACAAAUUUUAUUCUAGGAAUAAGAAUUACUAAAAUAUGUGAUGAAAUUUUCCUUGACCUGGCACAUUAUGUUGAGAAAAUUUUGAAAAACUAUAAUUUCCUUGAUUGCAAGCAUGUUGUAACUUCAUUUGAUUCUAGUGUUCACUUGCUUUAUUAAAAGUGAAAAUGAUGAAAUAUGUGACUGAUUGCACUAGGCCUGAUAUUGUAUAUGCAGUAGGAGUACUUAACAAGUUUACUAGCAAGCCAGGUAAUGAAUAUUAAUAUGCUAUAACGAGAGUAAUGAGAUAUUUAAGUGGAAUGAAAAAUUGUGGUUUGUUAUAUCAAAAAUAUCUUGUUGUACUUGAAGGCUUUUGUGAUGCGGAUUGAAAUACUUUAACAGGUGAUUCCUUAUCUACUACUGGUUAUAUUUUUACUUUGGGUGGUGGUGCUAUUUGUUGGAAAUCUAAAAAGCAAAUAAUUAUUGUUAACUCUCCCAUGGAGGCUGAACUAAUUGCUUUAGCUUUAGCUAGUGAGCAAGCGAAUUGGUUGAGAGAUUUGUUAUUUCAAAUACCUUAUUUUGAAAAAUUAAUUCCUACUAUAUUAGUUCAUUGUGAUAGCAUCGCUGCAAUUGAUAGAGUUCAAAACCGUUAUUAAAAUGGUAAAUUCAGACCUAUAAGGAGAAAACACAAUAAUGUAAGAUCAUAUUUGACAAAUGGUAUCAUUAAUGUUGAUUAUGUCAAAUCUUAUGAUAAUCUUGCAGAUCUAUUGACUACUGAAGCAUAUCUAAGGGAUGAGAUUGAAGCCUAUUGAAUCUUGAGUCAUAUAUGAGGAAACUCAACCUGGGGACUAGUGAUCCUAUAACCAGGUUUAAUGGAAAAAACAAAGCACAUGAUGACUUGUUGUGAAAAAUGUACUAUUUUUUCUCCCUCCCGAUGAUGUGAGUGCAUUUACCUGGAUGAUUGUGAGGUUGAGUUUAAGAAACUCUUAUGAAAAUUUAUAACUCGUAUGAGUGGGGUACUAAAUUAUAGGAGCACUCUCGACAUAUUUCACCUAUGUGAGUGUGGAGGUAGGCCGCUUUCUAUGAAAAUUAGGCUCAUUCUCAAAAGAUACUUAUUAAAAUCGGGAUAGCACAAGGUCAUAAUGUGUUGGUUAUAAAACUCAUUUCAACACCUUGACUAUUAUGUGUAAGCAGUAACUUUUUAUUUUCUCUAAGCAGUCAUAAUUUAAAUCUGAGACCACUAUGAUUCUGGAGUAAAAAUUACUAUAUUACUAAGUGGAGGUUCAAUGCAGAGCACACCUUCAUUAUGCAUGAUAGUCUUCCUUCAAUUCGUAGACUCUCUUGUGUUAAUAUCAAAUUGAGUGGGGAAUUGGUAAAGUUUGGACAUUUUAAUAUUAAAAAAAUACAUCUUUGCAUGUUUAAUACGGUACGUCCGUUAGUGUCCAUGCAUGAAGGAAUUCAUUCUUCCACUUUAACUCUCAUUUUGAGAGUAUCAUUAUGUGGAGUGAAUGAAUAACAUUCUUCUAAGUUAUUGGCCAUUAGUUGGCUUUAUUUUCUUUUUGUAACCUAUAUUGGCCAUUAGUGGCUCAUUAUAUUGCAACUUAUGUUAGAGGCUGAACGUUGAUAUAUUAACCUUUAAUCUUUGUAAUUUCUAGCCUCUUUAUUCCUCCAUUAUCCUAUUUUUUAUGUGUCGUAAUUCUUAUAACUUUUGUAACCUCUAUUCUAUUUAUCUUCCCAUUUAUUCUUUCUAUUCAUUUUAUCUUCCUAUUUAUUCUUCCUAUUCAUUGCAUGAAAGAUUUCUUCACCUAUAAAUAGAGGUGGUCUUGCAUGAUUUUGAUAUAUACAAGAUAAUGUAGAGUUUACAAAAAUUAGUAAAAAAGAGAGUUUAUUAGUUGAAGGGAGGUGUUAUUUUUGUGGAUCUUUGAAUUUAACUUUUGUCCAGAAUUGUUGAGUUAUUCUUUGGGAAGACUGUUGUAUCUUGGAGGGGACAAGUCGAGAAGAUUACUGUUGGACCGGCGAAACAAUUUACUGCGGUGGGCUUGAAUCUCCUUAAAGAGUGCGAGAUAUCCGAGCCUUAGCCAAAGAAGAAGAAGAUAUUUCUUUUUAUUCUCAUCACUUGUAAUUUUCAGUUGUAAUUUUAUUGUAAUUUGCACCAAUAAUUGACAAGAUGACGGACAAAACCACAUCCCGGACUACUAAGUUUCUAACAUAUGCUCGGAGGCUUCAAUUGAUUAAUGUCGUUCUCUUUUCCAUUCAAACAUUUUGGUCUUCUCAGAUAUUUAUUUUGCUAAAAAGGAUAAUUCAAGUGGUGGAAAUUACUUGCAAAAGGUCCUUAUGGACCAGAAGUAACGAGCUCCCAAAAAGGCUCUAUUAGCUUGGGAGAAAAUUUAUUAUCCUAAAGUGGCAGGGUACUUCAAUGUACUUGACGUACUAGUAUGGAACAGGGUGGCUAUUUGCAAUCUGCUCCAAAAUUUAUGCAGGAAAAAGGAUACUUUACGGGUGCAAUGGGUAUGUACUUACUAUAUAAAAGGUAGAGAGAUCGGAUCGUUUUCAUGCAAGGAAGCUUCGUGGAUAGAACUGAAAAUUCUAAAGGUCAAGGAACAUCUGAAAAGUGUUGGUGGCAACAUCCCUGAACUAAGUAAUAUGAAGAUUUUCACUAUCAAAGACCAUGUAUAAGAAGCUGAGACGAACUUUUAGCAAGGUGACAAUGGAGAAAAUUAUUGUGUAACAAUUUUGGGGGCUAAAUGAAUUUUUAUUGUUUUUAUGACAUUGCAUGAAAAGCUAUAUAAUAAGGAUAGACUUGCUAAAUGGGGGCUGGUGGAUGAACAAAAAUGCAUCUUGUGUAAUUCUAAGGAUGAGACAAUUGAACAUUUAUUUUUUUUUUGUUGUGCAUUCUCAAAUUAUAUUUGUGAAAAAUUAUUAAGAUGGAAAGAGAUAAAUAGGCGUUUAAUGGAGUACUGAUAAGAAGAUCGAGCUGAAUUAGCUGCAACUCAUGCCACAGGAAAAAAUGUAGUGGUUGAGGUAUUUAGAAUGAUAAUGGCGGGUUGUGUAUAUCAUCUUUGCUUGGAACACUACUAGAAAACUGUUUAUUACUUGGGAUUUUCAUAGGGAUAAUGUGGUAAAAUCCCCAGGUAAUUUGAUUACUUGUGGAUUUUCUUACCAAUUAGAAUCCAAAGGAAAUACCUUCGUAGGUAAUUAUUACCUGCAGAUUUAUAAAAUCCCUAGGUAAUCUAGCUGUGGAAAUAAAUCUACAGGUAUGUUAUUUGCGGAUUUAUCUGCAGAUUUUACCUGCGAAUUUUUACGAAAAAAUCAUAAAUUAUUCCCCACGAAUAUUUCCAAGUAAAUUCCUAGGUAAUUUAGCUGCGAAAAUAAAUUCAUAGGUACGUUAUUUGCGGAUUUAUUUGCGAUUAAAUAUCAAAAUUUUACAUGAAUUAUUUGGUAAAAUUUCAUAAAAAGGAUUUUACCUGUGAAUUUUCAGGAAAAAAUUUCCAAAUUAUUCCCCACGAAGAUUUUCAAGUAAAUUCCUAGGUAAUUUAGUUGCAAAAAUAAAUCCGCAGGUACAAUAUUCGCGGAUUUAUUUACAAUUAACCAUAAAAAUUUUGCAUGAAUUAUUUGGUAAAAUUUCUUGCAGUUAUUUAUGAAACUAUUCCGCAAGAAAAUUCUUAUGAAAUACCCCAAAUAAAUCCGCAAGAACAAAUGUUUUCAAAAAAGAUUUCAUAAAUAUUUAGCAUAUACAUCCCCAUAAAAAUUUUCAAAUAAUAAUUCACACGUAAAUUACUAAAAAUAUUUCACAAUUAAUUAAAAAUCUAUUUAAAACUUUCAAUAAUUCUCAAAAACAUCAUUCAAUACAAAUCUAAUGUAAAUCCUCACAGCUAACAAAAAAAUACAUAAUUCUAAACAUCCACAUCAAUAAUAUAUAAUUCUUAAAUGGUCCAAAACAAAAUAUUUUAAACUUGAAUCCUCAAUAAAACUACCAACCAUCAGGAUCAGAUCACUUUCAUUCACGUUAUCAGGAUUAUCAAUUUCAUUCACGUCGUUAGAGUCACCAUCACUUUCAUCCUCAUAAGCUUGGUUGUCUUCUUGAGAUGGGUGUAAUCAUUUGCAGAUGAUUUCUUAUAUACAUGUUUCAUCAAGAAGUCUAAUUCCUUUCUCAUCCUCCUUCCACAAUUGAUGCACUUUGAGCAACUAAUAUUUCUUGUUUCUUUCUUUCAAACUUAUUCUGCAUAAGAAUAUGUUAAUUCAGGUCAUAAAAAGUGCUAAAAAUACAUUAUUAGCAUAAAUUAUAUGAUAUUAUAGUAUCAAAUAAAAUCAUAACAAUCAACAAAUAUAAAUAUGUAUAUAUUAGCAUUUUCAAGUAACUAUAAUUAAUCAUUUUCAAGUCACUAGUAUCAUUUCAAGUCACAACACUUGACCAUUUUCAAGUAACUAAUUCACAUUUCAAGUCACUACACUUAACCAUUUUCAAUUCACUAGUACAUAUUUCAAAUCACUACACUUAACCAUUUUCAAAUAAUUAAUUCACAUUUCAAGUAAUAUACUUAACCAUUUUCAAGUAAAUAUACCUAACCACUUUCAAGUAACUAAUUCACAUUUCAAGUAACUACACUUUAACAAUUUUCAAGUCACUAGUACACAUUUCAAGUCUGUAUACUCAACCAUAUUUUCAAGUAACUACCACUACUAGAAAAAACAAGCAUGUGGUCGCUUUUCCUGUUUUCACUUCAAGUCGCUAAUUCACUUCAUAAGUUACCAAACUAAACUAAAUUCAAAAUAAGAGUUCACCUUUCAAAUACCUACACUUGAAACAUUUUCAAGUCACUAUUCACUUCACAAGUUACCAAACUAAACUAAAUUCAAAACAAAAUUUCACAUUUCAAGUACCUACCCUUAAACAUUUUCAAGUCACUAAUUCACUUCACAAGUUACCAAACUAAACUAAAUUCAAAAUAAAAGUUCACAUUUCAAGUACCUACACUUAAAAUAUUUUCAAGUUGCUAAUUCACUUCUCAAGUGACCAUGUACUUUACUCAACAACAACAAACUCAGUGUAUUCCCACCUAGUGGGGUCUGGGCGGGGUAAGAUGUACGCAGUCCAUACCUCUACCUCUGAUGAAGUAGAAAGGCUGAUUCCGAAAGACCCCCGGCUCAAGACACGAGAUACCACACAAACACAUAGUAAAACACAGAAGCAGAUUACAUAACAUAAAUACGACACCCAUAAGUAUUAUAAAACAGAGAAAAACAGAGGAAAGCACACAGAUUCGUAAUAAAACAUGGAACACGAAACACGGAAUCAUAACAGGAAUAUACUUUACUAAAUUCAAAAUAAAGGAUCACAUUUCAAGUACCUACACUUAAGCAUUUCAAGUAACUAAUUCACUUCACAAGUGACCAUGUACUUUACUAAAUUCAAAAUAAAGGAUCACAUUUCAAGUACCUACACUUAAGCAUUUCAAGUAACUAAUUCACUUCACAAGUGACCAUGUACUUUACUAAAUUCAAAAUAAAGGAUCACAUUUCAAGUACCUACACUUAAGCAUUUCAAGUAACUAAUUCACUUCACAAGUGACCAUGUACUUUACUAAAUUCAAAACACAAGUUCACAUUUCAAGUAACUACACUUAUACAAAUCGAAGUCACUAAUUCACUUAUCAAGUGACCAUGUACCUUACUAAAUUCAAAACAAAACUUCACCUAUCAAGUACCUACACUUAAAAUAUUUCAAGUCACUAAUUCACUUCACAAGUUGCCAAACUAAACUUAAUUCAAAACAAAAGUCCACCUUUCAAGUACCUACACAUAAAUCCCUGCCCCUGAGCAGUCCUUAAUUUUAAACACCCUGUGCUACCUAACAAUCCAUUCCAAGAUUUAGGGAGUACAUUCUACUUGGCUACUUGCUCUCUGUUUCCCCUAAGAAUACCCUCUCACAAACAUGAAGAGAACCAAGCAUUUCUGGCGAAUCGAUGAGAGUACAAUUCAAGAUUGGACACAACAUGAUCAGUGAAAAGUGAAAUCAAACCUAACGCAAACAGCAUUAACCCACAAACUUUGGUAAUAAACUAUGAACUCAUCAUGUCACAAUGCCAGUUAACACCAAUCGCGUAAUAAACUUAUUCAAGGAAAUAUUUUCAAGAAGAGAUCAUAUUCACAGAAUAACAGACCAUGAACACGGUAUUCGGCCUAAUACCACUAGUAUCAUUACUAUGGGUUUAACAAAAUUCAACUUAGUAAUCACAAACACAGAAGCUAAAUUACCUAAUAGUUAUGAUUAAUCACAACUACUUUUACAGUGAGACUAGAAUAUAUUUUAUUGCUCGUACAUCUCAAGAUUACAAAUCCUUAUUCAUUGUACAUUAGAUAAAUCAAGAUUACAAAUCUUUCAUAGAUAACAUUUCUAGAAAAUAUAUACUUUGCCAUACAAACUUGACAUGAUGAAAUUAAAAACUAAAAUUUUGAAUCAAGCACCAUAUUAGACAAUUACGCAAAUAAAGCUAGCUCAAAUCACUAUAGGGAAUGACGUCUAUCUUGGUUUAUUUUGGGCUUACCAGCAGAUGGACGAGUGAUGACCGAAGGGCUGCUUGUAGCUAAUCUAUUUGAAUUUGUUUUUUCAAUCUCUUUUAGCUUCGUCUUCAUUUUCAGCAACUCGAAUUUCAGCUCCUAAUUUUCUUGUUUUAGACUAGAGACCUCGUCUGAAAUAGAGCGGAUAUCAGUGGAGAACUGAUGAUUCAUUUUGGAAAGAACAAGAGCUGGAGAUUCAGUUGCUACAAGCUGACUCUCAUCCAUGACAUCACGAAGAUGUUGUUGCUCAUAGUAAAGUACUUGUACAACUGUGGGCUCGAGCCGGUGGGGAUGGCGGUUGGUCGCUGGUCUCCAAUGACCUUCGGCGUUGGUGGCUUGCCGAUGGAGCAACGGUGAGGAAGGGGAAGAGGCGGCAGCUUUGGUGGCCUUUGCUCUUUGAGAAAGAGAGAUAGUAGAGAGAAGUUAGAGAGAGAAGGAGGGUGGUGUGCGGCUGUUUUCUUUGUAAAUGGAGGCGUAGGAUUUCUGUUGGAUUAAAAAGGAAGGCAAAGAGAAAUGUGAUCUCAGCCGUUGGAUCAAAUUUGAUCGAUGGCUGAGAUCUAGUUAUUAAAAAUAUGAUCAAAAUUGGAUGAAAAAUUUAAAUUGAGUCUAAUUAGACACCAUUUGGCUAAAAUUGUAAUAAACUGAAUAAAAUUAGUCUAAAUUUGUUAUCAAUUAAUAAAAUCAGGCUAAAAUUUAAAUAAAUUAAAUUAAGUCAGACUGCUAUUUUAAUAAAUGUUAUAAAUAUUAUUAUGAUAAUAAUAAUAAUAAUAAUAAUAAUAAUAAUAAUAAUAAUAAUAAUAAUAAUAAUAAAAAUGACUAAGAAUCAAACAGAUUGGGAAAUUGAAUUGAAUUAAGGCUGCUAUUUUAAUAAAUGUACUACUGACGUAAUAAUAAAAAUAAGAAAAAUAAUAAGAUGUCGAUAUCUAUGUAUUUGGAAAUUGUGAAUGUGCAUAUUUGUGAAAAUAAUUUGAUAAAUAUUAACAAAAUAUUAUAUUUAAAUUACAUAAAAUAUAAAAUUGCUUGAUAAAAAUAAAUUGUCUAUUUAGAAAUCAUGACUAUGACACGUCGGUAUUUAUUUGAUAUCAAAAUAAUACGUAAAAUUAAUUAUUUUGGUAAAAUAGCACUGCAAUAUUCAACCAAAGAUAGAAUGGGACUCUACCAAGUAAUACAGUGUAAAAUCUAAGGACUGAUGGAUCGUGUAUGGCCAUUACCACUUGGGGUCUGUCGAGGGUACAGUAUACGCAGACCGUACCGUUGAGGUAAAUAGGUUGUUUUCAGUAAACCCUUGAUUCAAGACAAAUAGUCUGAAGUUGAAUAUUAGUGAAUAAUAUUGACCGUUGUUCAAAUAUGAUGAACGGUUGAGAUUAAAAUUGAGGAAAUGAGUCAAAUUAAGAUUAGAUAUUGGGUUAAAAUAUAGAAUUGGGAAUUUCAAUUGAGUCAAAUUAAACUCAAUUGACACAAUUUGAGUAUAAAUGGCUAGAAUUUAAAUAAAUUAGAAAAAUUGAAUUGAAUUAGGUUGAUAUUUAAUAAAUAUAAUCACUAUAUAAAAUUAAUAUUAGAAAAAUAAAUAAAAUUAUUAUUUUUAAUAAUUUAGUAGACUACUAUUUAAUAAAUGUAGAAAAGCCGUAACAACAACAACAACAACAACAACAACAACAACAACAACAACAACAACAACAACAACAACAACAACAACAACAACAACAACAACAACAACAACAACAACAACAACAACAACAACAACAACAACAACAACAACAACAACAACAACAACAACAACAACAACAACAACAACAACAACAAUAAUAAUAGACAAUUUGUAAAUUAUGGGCAUGUAUACUUGCGGAAAUAAUUUAAUAAAUAUAGUAACUAUAAAUUAAUAUCAAAAAAAGCGACGGAUAUUAUGACUCGAUAUAAAUGAAAUAAUAACAUAAUAAUAACGAGAAAAAUAAUAAGAACCGAUAUAAAUUUGGUUUAAAAUGAAUCAAAUUGAAUUCAAAAACCAAUUAAAAUUGACAUAAAUUAGAUAUAAGGUUGGCUAGAAUUUAAAUAAAAUUGAGAAGAUAAUUGCAUCGACUUAGACUGCUAUUUCAAUAUAAUAAUAAUAAUAAAUAAAUAUUGAUCAACAACUGAGAUCUAAAGAUUAAGAAUUUGGUUAAAAAAAAUUGAAUGAAAUUUAAAAUUGAGUUCAAUUGAACACAUUUUGGGCUAGGCUUGUAAUAAAUUGGAUAAAAUAGGCUAAAAUUGAUAUAAAUUGACAAAAUCAGGCUAGAAAAUAAAUAAAUUGGAAAAAAUUAAAUUGACUAAGGUUGCCAAUUAAUACAAUAAUAAUAAUAGUAAAAUAAAUAAGAUAAUUAUUCUCAGAUUAGACUGCUAUUCAAAUGUAAUAAUAAUAAAUAAAUAUUGGUCAACAACUGAGAUCUAAAGAUUAGGAAUUUGGUUAAAAAAAUUGAAUGAAAUUUGAAAUUGAGUUCAAUUGAACAUAAUUUGGGUUAGGUUUGUAAUAAAUUGGAUAAAAUUAGGUUAAAUUGUUAUAAAUUGGCAAUAUCAGGCUAGAAAAUAAAUAGAUUAAAAAAAAUUAAAUUGACUAAGGUUGCGGAUUAAUACAAUAACAAUAAUAACAGUAAAAUAAAUAAUAUAAUUAUUCUCAGAUUAGUUAUGAAUAAAUUUUGUAAAUAAAAAUACGACACAUAAUAUAUUACUUUAAAAUCAACGAUAACAAUAAUUCAAAAUAAACACCUAUAAAUUAUGAAUAUAAAAUUUAAAAUUGCUGAUAAUACAUGUGUGAUACCAUCUAUGUCAAUGAACUAAUUUUAAUUUCUUGAGCAUCUUUUGCUUGAUAAUACGUAUCCACCGAUUUAAUGUCUAAUUUUUUUUAUUUUAUGUUUUUUAUUCUUCAAAUUUAUCCUUUUCCUAAUUUAAAAUUUUCAAGUCACAAAAUUUCUACAAAAAUCCACAAGAAAUAAUUUCAGCUAAAUUUUUAGCAACAUAAUCCCCCAAUAUAUUUCCACCAAAAUAUCUCUAAGUAAAUCCGUAGGAUAAAUUACAUAGAGAUUUUUCUGUGGAUUUAAAAAAAAUAUAUUUUUUCAUAUACCUGCGGAUUUACCUAGAGAUAAAAUACCCGAAGAUAUAGUUCCCCAGGUAAUGUCGCAAGUAAUAAUUUCGCAGGUAAAUUCCCAAGAAUAAAUCCCCAGCAAAAUUCACAGCACAAAAUCCCCAAAUAAUUUCCCAGGUAAUAAAAUUCAUUACAUAAAUUUUCACCAAAAUAUCUCUAAAUAAAUUCGUAGGAUAAAUUACCUGGGGAUUUUUCUAUGGAUUUAAAAAAUAUAUAUAUUUGUUUAUAUACCUGCGGAUUUACCUAGAGAUAAAAUAUCCGCCGAUAUAUUUCCCCAAGUAAUGUCGCAAGUAAUAAUUUCGCCGGUAAAUCCCCAAGAAUAAAUUUCCAGCAAAAUUCACAGCACCAAAUCCCCAACUAAUUUCUCAGGUAACAAAAUCCAUUACAUAAAUUUUCACCAAAAUAUCUCUAGGUAAAUUCGUAGGAUAAAUUACCUAAGGAUUUUUCUAUGGAUUUAAAAAAUAUAUAUAUUUGUUUAUAUACCUGCGGAUUUACCUAGAUAUAAAAUAUCCGCCAAUAUAUUUCCCCAGGUAAUGUCGCAAGUAAUAAUUGUUGACACCCAAUUUUGACUCGCCCUUUUUCCUUUAAUUACUUUUUCGAUGCUUCUUGGCCCUAAAUAAUUUUCAAAAAUUAAAUAAUAAUAUGAUUUGGCAUUUUUGUUUCUAUUUCUACAAGUUUUAAUAAGAAGGGAAUUUAAUUUUAUUUAUAAAGCUAUUUUAAUAAUUAAGCAUUUGACAUCACAAUCACAAAAUAUAUAUCUUUUGGUGGUCGCAUUCGCAUUCUUUCUAACUUUAUUUUUGGGGCAGUAUUGUGACCUUAUAGGUAUAUUUUUACUACACAAAAUAUAUUUUUAUAAGAUGCACAUAUAUUUCAUUAUAUUCUUAUUUUUAUGUAUUUUAUUAUAUUCUUAUUUUUCAUACACACAUAUAUAUAU